AUAAAAGGGGUACAAAGUACACCACCUCAAGGACCUCAUUAAAAAACCUCCCUAAUCCUAAAUGGAGGAAAAAGAGAAUACCUUGAGGUGGAAAGGAUCUAAAAACAAACAAUACUUUAACAACAAACAAUCCGAACUCUAGCCAAACAACGAACCGCAGGCCAGUUCAGAACCGUUCCAACAUAAACUAACGACAGGAAUGAAAAAAGAAAAUCGAAAGGAUCAUACACAAGCAACAGACCGUUUCACACAACCCACGACCUGAACUCAACCAGCAGCAGCAACCAAAACGGAGCUAGAAGAACAUCCAACAAAACACCAGCUCCCUAAUUGCACCCACUGCCAUAUUUCCAACAAAAAAGUCGGGUUAAAUUUAUUAAAAUGAUCCAUUUAUAUUUGUCACAGAAAAGAAGAAAAUUAAUGAAAUUCAUAUUUGACUUUGUAUGAAAAUGGACUGCUGUUUGACCCCAAGGGCCAGACUCAAAAUGCACAAGCACAAAUGUUCUCUGACCCUAGCAUGGCUAUGGACAUGAUGAAGAAAAAUCUCUGUAUGAUUAUACCUCAGACUCUCACUUUCUCCUGGGUCAACUUUUUCUUCUCUGGUUUUGUUGCAGAAUGGAAUUGACCUUAGCACAGUAGAUGUUAGCUAUGUCAGUAGCAGCAAUGGAUGAUACACAGCGAAUGAUGCAGAUGAGUGGGUUUGGCUUUGAUCCAUCGAAGAGCCUGGGUGCUGAGAAAGUUGGCCUUGACGUAAUCCAACAUGAAUGGGCACUCCCUAAAUUCGAGCAUCGUGCUGAAUCAGUGUUGAAAAGACUAAACAUUAGGAGCAUAAUCAACAACUCUCCAAAGGGGCUGGUUUGAUCGAAGUUUUCAUCAUACGAGCUCACCGAAGUGUAAAAGAGGAAACACAUAGAAACAAGGGUAGGCUUUAGUUUAUGUUCCAAUUCUACGAGAAGCAAGAAGAAACUUGUGACUUUACUAAUUUUUUGCUCUUAGUAACUUUAUGUUGGAUCUUUGGCCGGCCUG